AACGAACGCUGGCGGCAGGCCUAACACAUGCAAGUCGAGCGCGCCCUUCGGGGUGAGCGGCGGACGGGUGAGUAACGCGUGGGAACGUGCCCUUCUCUGCGGAAUAGCCUCGGGAAACUGAGAGUAAUACCGCAUACGCCCUUUGGGGGAAAGAUUUAUCGGAGAAGGAUCGGCCCGCGUUGGAUUAGGUAGUUGGUGGGGUAAUGGCCCACCAAGCCGACGAUCCAUAGCUGGUUUGAGAGGAUGAUCAGCCACACUGGGACUGAGACACGGCCCAGACUCCUACGGGAGGCAGCAGUGGGGAAUCUUAGACCAUGGGGGCAACCCUGAUCUAGCCAUGCCGCGUGAGUGAUGAAGGCCUUAGGGUUGUAAAGCUCUUUCAGCUGGGAAGAUAAUGACGGUACCAGCAGAAGAAGCCCCGGCUAACUCCGUG
rnacentral:rRNA from 1 species